AGACAACUUUCAAGUAGUUCUCUCGCCGAACUUUGGAUCUCGACACCUAUCCGCAAGAAAUAUUUGAAAUAGUUGACAAUGUAUCGAUAAAUUGAAAGCGUACAAAAAUUGGGGAUAGAACAACUUAUAGAAACUAACAUGUAACAAACGAACUUUGUACGCACACCAGAGAUGCCAGAUGUUUUUGAAAAAUGUCUGCAACUGCUCGAAAAACCGGAAAAAUGUGCUCGAAAUCUGAAAAAAAUCUAUCCGUGAUCCGAAAAAAUUUCGCUCGCGCAGGCAAAAGUCUGUAAAAAUCUGCACACAUUUUAAGAAAAUCUGCGCAAAUAUAAGGAGACUUUGACAAAAAUCUGCAGAAACCGUGGAAAAACUGCAAAUAUCUGCAAAUCAAUAAAUAUCUGCACACGGACUUCAAAAAUCUGCGUUUUGCAGACAAAUCUGCACAUUUGGUAUCACUGGAUCGGAGAUCGAUGACAUGAUGAGAGGUAACAGUUGUCAAAUAAACGUAAGCGGAAUGUUGGAGCAAAGCAGAUUCGAAAAAAAAGAAAUAUGGCUGAUAGUGAAAAUUUUAAAUUCAGGAUAACAAACAUGACAUGCAUACCUCAUCUGUUCCUUCUUUUCCCUCUUCUAUCUGGAACUAUCAUAACUGUUACCUCGACUAUCCCCUAUAUUCAACACUUUGUUUUGGUAUCCGGCAUUCUUAAACAGGAUUCAUCCGACUUCUGUUGGUUAUUAUUCUCAAAUUUAUAUUUCUAUGAAAAGUAAUUACUCACUGAAGACUUGGCCCUACCCAACAAACAAUUUUGUUGAAUACCACGGCUUAGCCAUAGUUCGCCCAAAAUCCACUUAACAAUAGGGGUCUUCACAUCGAGCUCGUAUACAAAUACUCAGCCGUAAACUGUGUAUCUUCCAUUACUCGUCAAUGGAGGUGAGUAUUUUUACGGCUGGGUAUUUGUAUACGAGCUCGACAUGAAUACCCAUAAUAGUUUGAUAUGCUGUAAAUCAACAAAACUGUUUGCUGGGUACGGUUCUUCUCUGCGCCCAAAAACAAAAACGAACCAAUAUCAUCAGCAUAACAAGCUUCUAACAAAACCUUAUAUUGUUUUACCUUAAUUUAAACAAACAUUGUACUUCAAGUACAAAUACUUUGUAGAAAGAAUAUUGUUUUUGUACGAUUAGCAUCAUAGUUGAAAAAAAUCUGGGAAGAGCAGAUAAGAUUCACGCUCGAUAUUUACUAUCCCAAGUAACUAAAUUUUUUUAGUGCUAAAUAGAACCAAAACAUAAAACCUUCAAUGCCGACCACGCGACUAUAACAACCUAUUAACAACAGCUAUAUACAUGUGUCAUGGCUAGUUGGCCCAGGUUUAUUGCAGUCAUCAAAACUUCAUAUGCGCUCCAUCAUAGGACCAGAUGUUUUUAGCAGGCCGAUUUGCUCGCCAUAGAAUGGCCACUAAAUUUUAACUGAGAUAUAUUCUCCAUAUUAAGCGUGAAGUAAUGAAGUUUAUCUUGGUUUCAUCCCUCAAUGACAACAUUAUAUUCGGACAGUGUCGUGAAAACCGAAAUGUGUUAGUUUUCUUACUAUAUUGAUUGAUUAUUAUUGUCAUUUGAAUCGUUUUCGUGCAUGUAAAAACACAUGCCGUGAAAUAUUUAUGGUAAAACCGGCCACGAAUUUUACCGUAAUUACCGCUCGCCGCCGUAAUUCUGUAGAAAAUGACUAUUUAAUCAAAAUUUAAUUCCUCUCAACUAAGGCGAUAAUUGAAUAAAUGCCAUAAUUUGUCAUUUUAUAUUAA